UGCGAAUUAGCUUAAUUGAAUAAAGCCUCUACUUUGUAAGUAGAUGAGUAAAGGUUUGAAUCCUUUAUUCGCCA